CCCUAACCGGACUCAGAUUCUUCACCGUCUACGGCCCUUGGGGUAGACCCGACAUGGCUUACUUCUUCUUCACCAAAGAUAUCCUACAAGGCAAAUCGAUUGAUGUCUACCAGACCCAUGACCAGAAGGAGGUGGCGCGUGACUUCACCUACAUUGACGACGUCGUGAAAGGGUGCCUCGGAGCGCUGGACACGGCGGAGAAAAGCACCGGAAGCGGCGGCAAGAAAAGAGGACCCGCUCAGCUCAGAAUCUACAAUCUCGGCAACACUGCGCCGGUUCCGGUGGGAAGACUGGUAUCUAUCCUCGAAGGUUUGUUGAACACGAAGGCGAAGCGCCACGUAAUCACCAUGCCCCGAAACGGCGACGUUCCGUACACGCACGCCAAUGUGAGCUUGGCGUUCAGAGAUUUCGGAUACAAACCGACCACCGAUUUGGCGUCCGGGUUAAGAAAAUUCGUCAAGUGGUACGUUAGUUAUUACGGGAUUCAUCCGAGGG
rnacentral:lncRNA from 1 species